GGAAUAUUGCACAAUGGGCGCAAGCCUGAUGCAGCAACGCCGCGUGAGGGACGACGGCCUUCGGGUUGUAAACCUCUUUUAGUAGGGAAGAAGCGAAAGUGACGGUACCUGCAGAAAAAGCACCGGCUAACUACGUGCCAGCAGCCGCGGUAAUACGUAGGGUGCAAGCGUUGUCCGGAAUUAUUGGGCGUAAAGAGCUCGUAGGCGGUUUGUCGCGUCUGCUGUGAAAACCCGAGGCUCAACCUCGGGCCUGCAGUGGGUACGGGCAGACUAGAGUGCGGUAGGGGAGAAUGGAAUUCCUGGUGUAGCGGUGGAAUGCGCAGAUAUCAGGAGGAACACCGAUGGCGAAGGCAGUUCUCUGGGCCGUUACUGACGCUGAGGAGCGAAAGCGUGGGGAGCGAACAGGAUUAGAUACCCCAG
rnacentral:rRNA from 1 species